rnacentral:rRNA from 1 species
GGGUUGUGAGGUUAAGCGACUAAGCGUACACGGUGGAUGCCCUGGCAGUCAGAGGCGAUGAAGGGCGUGCUAAUCUGCGAUAAGCGCCGGUAAGGUGAUAUGAACCGUUAUAACCGGCGAUACCCGAAUGGGGAAACCCAGUGUGACUCGUCACACUAUCAUUAACUGAAUCCAUAGGUUAAUGAGGCGAACCGGGGGAACUGAAACAUCUAAGUACCCCGAGGAAAAGAAAUCAACCGAGAUUCCCCCAGUAGCGGCGAGCGAACGGGGAGGAGCCCAGAGCCUGAAUCAGCAUGUGUGUUAGUGGAAGCGUCUGGAAAGGCGCGCGAUACAGGGUGACAGCCCCGUACACAAAAGCGCAUGUGCUGUGAGCUCGAUGAGUAGGGCGGGACACGUGGUAUCCUGUCUGAAUAUGGGGGGACCAUCCUCCAAGGCUAAAUACUCCUGACUGACCGAUAGUGAACCAGUACCGUGAGGGAAAGGCGAAAAGAACCCCGGCGAGGGGAGUGAAAAAGAACCUGAAACCGUGUACGUACAAGCAGUGGGAGCCCCACCACUAAGCCAGUGGUGAACUCCACAUACGCAUCCUUUGCUGAGGAUACGGUUAACGGAGCGAAAGCGACGUUCAACCGCAAAAGAAGCAGAGGGGGCUUAGUGGUGGGGUGACUGCGUACCUUUUGUAUAAUGGGUCAGCGACUUAUAUUCUGUAGCAAGGUUAACCGUAUAGGGGAGCCGUAGGGAAACCGAGUCUUAACCGGGCGUUAAGUUGCAGGGUAUAGACCCGAAACCCGGUGAUCUAGCCAUGGGCAGGUUGAAGGUUGGGUAACACUAACUGGAGGACCGAACCGACUAAUGUUGAAAAAUUAGCGGAUGACCUGUGGCUGGGGGUGAAAGGCCAAUCAAACCGGGAGAUAGCUGGUUCUCCCCGAAAGCUAUUUAGGUAGCGCCUCGUGAAUUCAUCUCCGGGGGUAGAGCACUGUUUCGGCUAGGGGGCCAUCCCGGCUUACCAACCCGAUGCAAACUGCGAAUACCGGAGAAUGUUAUCACGGGAGACACACGGCGGGUGCUAACGUCCGUCGUGAAGAGGGAAACAACCCAGACCGCCAGCUAAGGUCCCAAAGUCAUGGUUAAGUGGGAAACGAUGUGGGAAGGCCCAGACAGCCAGGAUGUUGGCUUAGAAGCAGCCAUCAUUUAAAGAAAGCGUAAUAGCUCACUGGUCGAGUCGGCCUGCGCGGAAGAUGUAACGGGGCUAAACCAU